AUGAGAGGAAAAAGAAGAUUACUGGGGGACCACAAUUUAAAUAUUCACAAGUCACUGCAUGGUCCAGAGGCAGCCCCCACUGGGCACGGAGUCCAGGAGAAGCCUCAAGCGGUGGAGCAAAGGAAAGACCCAUCCUCGAACUCCAAAGUGGUUUCAAGGACCCAAGAGACAAGAGCAAAAUGUGCCCAGAAGUCCAGAUCAGCAGAAAAUCCUAAGGAGAACACCGUGGAUUUCCGUGCCCCUACGCUUCCUGUGAGCUGUGGCAAGGCAAAGGGGAUUUUAUACAGGCAGAAAAUGGAACAAGAGGGUGAGUUCUGUGGUCUUCUGCUCUUCGACUCUUGGGAUGAAGGAGCUUCUAGAGGGAAGCAGGUGCUUGUGUGGGUAACUAAGCAGGAGUGGGACCUGGAACCAGGCUGUAGGCACUGUGGGGCUUCCUGAGAAGGAGUUCAUAAACUUUCAUAUCCUGAGCUCUCCACUCCUGCAGGGAUUUAUCCACAGGCCCCACCACACUCACCCGCGUGUCCUUGCUGCUUGCUGAUGUCACAGGAAGUGCAGUCUGGCCCACUCUCGACCCAUGGGCAGGAUUCAGACCCUCUUGCAAACUCUAGGAGAAAUAGGUUUCAGAUUC
rnacentral:lncRNA from 1 species